AGCUCCAAUAGCGUAUAUUAAAGUUGUUGCAGUUAAAAAGCUCGUAGUUGGAUUUGGGACUGGAGUCGCUCGGUCGGCCGUGAGGUCUGUUACUGAGCGGCUCUGUCAUUACAUUUCUCAGAGACCUGUCGUGUACUUAACUGUGCGCGGCACGGGAUUUGGGACGUUUACUUUGAAAAAAUUAGAGUGUUCAAAGCAGGCUUUUCAAGCCCGAAUACAUGAGCAUGGAAUAAUGGAAUAGGACCGCGGUUCUAUUUUGUUGGUUUCUACGACCGCAGUAAUGAUUAAGAGGGACAAUUGGGGGCAUCCGUAUUUCGUUGUCAGAGGUGAAAUUCUUGGAUUUACGAAAGACGAACAACUGCGAAAGCAUUUGCCAAGAGUGUUUUCA
rnacentral:rRNA from 1 species